rfam:Salmonella enterica subsp. enterica serovar Newport str. S09097 S_Newport_S09097_mira454_c1625, whole genome shotgun sequence.
CUCCGGGGGCAAGAGGUUCGACUCGAGCGAAGCGAGAGAACGUUGCGUCAGCAACGGCCCGCAGGGCGAGCCACGUAGUGGCCGAGUCAUCCUCUAUCACCGGCAG